UCGAGGGCCACAUCGUGAUAGAAGCCAAACAGCAGCACCGAUGCCUCCAGCUGAGCUCGACGCCGGUCAAGAGGCUUCUGGAGAGAUUUGAAUCUGCAGCAAAGAGCUCGUUAAAUCAACAUCGUCUGGUUCAGUCUCCUCCACCGGCUGCUAAGCUGAGUCGUCUUUCUGCUGAUGCUCUGACUGUUGUAGUGCUCUUCGGCAAGCAUCUCCUGUCCCAGCUGAACACACAGAUACACAAGCAUGCAAGAUGUGUAAGGAAAGUGACAGGGUUGAUGGACCAUGAAACGGAUCAAAGAGAAGCAUCCUCACCCCGACGUCUUUGACCCUUAGUCGGGCUUCAUGUCCGGACAAC